AAACCAUGAUGUGGAUAGCUCCUUAGUAAAUCCUUGAACCAUUCCUAGCAAUCAUACAAAGUUUCAUUCUCCUACUGAAGAAACCCUGCUAUGUCAUUCCUCAACUU
rfam:Ricinus communis cultivar Hale ctg_1100012360360, whole genome shotgun sequence.